rnacentral:sRNA from 1 species
AGCGCUGGUCCAGGGGAGUCCUUGAGACCCCGCCUGCUACCUCGUGGUCUGGGUGACCUUCACCCCUGGUAAGAUCCUGCCAGCCCUCUCACAUUGGGAACCUCUAUCACCCUCAACCCCGGGCUUUGCUCACAGGUGACCCUCCGACUGGACACCCACCCUGCCAUGGUCACUGUGCUGGAGAUGGGGGCUGCCCGCCACUUCCUGCGCAUGCAGCAGCUGGCCAAGACCCAGGAGGAGCGCGCACAGCUCCUGCAGCCCACGCUGGAGAUCAACCCCAGGCAUGCGCUCAUCAAGAAGCUGAAUCAGCUGCGGGCAAGCGAGCCUGGCCUGGCUCAGCUGCUGGUGGAUCAGAUAUAUGAGAAUGCCAUGAUUGCUGCUGGGCUUGUUGACGACCCUAGGGCCAUGGUGGGCCGCUUGAAUGAGCUGCUUGUCAAGGCCCUGGAGCGACACUAACAGCCAGGGGGCCAGAAGGACUGACACCACAGAUGACAGCCCCACCUCCUUGAGCUUUAUUUACCUAAAUUUAAAGGUAUUUCUUAACCUG